CCCAUCACAAAGGGGAGCCAUGGCUGAGAAUGAGUAAUAACUCUAAACCCUUGAACCUGUUCGUUAGUACGAGCGUAGGAAUUGUGAUGGAGUAAAUA
rfam:Enterococcus haemoperoxidus ATCC BAA-382 genomic scaffold acvJN-supercont1.3, whole genome shotgun sequence.